UACAGAGGGGGCAAGCGUUAUUCGGAAUUAUUGGGCGUAAAGGGCGCGUAGGCGCCUGGCAAGUGGAUGGUGAAAUCCCUCGGCUUAACCGAGGAACUGCCAUCCAGACUGCUUGGCUUGAGACCGGGAGAGGUGAGUGGAAUUCCCAGUGUAGCGGUGAAAUGCGUAGAUAUUGGGAGGAACACCAGUGGCGAAGGCGGCUCACUGGACCGGUACUGACGCUGAUGCGCGAAAGCGUGGGGAGCAAACGGGG
rnacentral:rRNA from 1 species